UAGAAAGUCAUGUGCUAACAUACGCAGACAAGGAAGAUGACUGGAUGAUUGUUGGAGAUGUUCCUUGGGAGAUGUUCUUGUCUAGCGUGAGAAGACUGAAGAUCUCAAGAGCUUAUCACUACUGAUUUGACCAAUACAGUGUGGCAAGUAGUUAGUUUUGUCAUGAUGUAAAUCACUUUGUCGGAGAUUUUAUUCAAAAUUUUUGUUUCUAGUUUUAUUACGUAAUGUUUUUAUUCGGUUAUAACUUGCAAGGAUGAAUUUUUCUUUCAGAUCCUUCGUUAGAAGGUUCAUGUUUUGUUGUUUAUUAGAUUUUUUUCUUAUUUCAAAAAAUCCCUAGCGAUAAUAAAACCAAAUAUUAUAUGAA